CCUAAUACAAACCAAGGGCUUCCUUUAAUAGCUAUAAGUUUUACGUCACCGAGAAACAAAUUCUACAAUAAUGUUGGUAAGCAUCAUAUUCACAUGCCACAGCCAAAAAGAGCAAGCACAUAGUAUUCUAAGAAUGGCCCAUAAAACUAAGCGAUGUAGCAGAGGAAGGUGGCAAACCUUAAUCAUAGCACGACAUCCGCUAGCUACUGAUGGAUUGAACAAUACCUGGAAGAAGAACAUAGCAAUACACACAUCAAAAAGAGGCCAAGACAUGGACUGGAUCAAAUGCAUAUCCUACCGGAAAAGAAACAAUAGUUGGAGGUUCGCCAUCAUCGAAGGAGGUUGAUAACAACUUCUUGUCAGAUUUUAUUGGCCACCGCAGAAAUAAAUAGAAAUCGUAAGAUCCCCACGAUUGAUAACAGGAAAUAAUAACUUACCUUCAAAUCUCAGAGAGAUUGGCACACACACAGAGAGUGAGAGAGAGAGGGAGACUUAGACACCAUUCAUCGCAGUAAAAAUGAGUGCACGCCGCAGAACUGAUCAUAUGGGAAGAAUACCCUUUGAAAUUAUAUCUCAAAAGCUCGGCGCAGCCAAUAUAAAUAUACAACCGUCAGAUAUUAGAAAAUGGUAAUAUAGGUGUGCUAAUGCCUAAAGUGCCAGAACAAAUCAUGCUCAUAUCCACAUGAGCACAUCACAACACAGACAUGCAUAAACACAUCACAAAUUUCUGAAGAAAAGGGUCGGGGUGUCACAAGACCACUUGAUUUUCAUUGGAAAGACUUCUGGUCAUUUGUCACCUAAAAGUAUAUACAUGCAAGAACGUUUUCUCUCUUGAUCUUAGAAACAUCUACCUGCCUAGAAAGAUGCUAGAAGCAUGAUCCAAGCGAGAGGAAAAGUAUUUUUUCUAAGAAGCUACAGAGAGAGACAAGUAAGCCAGUGAUCCUCGCCUAGCUAGUGCACACACAUACACACACACACACAUCAAGCCAACACACCAUAAACGCAGCAGCAGCACGCAAGCCACAAAUAGGCGUGUGGCGCAGCGCACGGGGAAGAUAGAGACAAAACCAAUAGAGUGAGGAGCAGAUAGCCACGCUUGCUGUCGAGCCGUUCACACUAAAAGGGAUAAAAGAGUAGGACGCUUCUAUUCUCAAACCUUCCCAUCAUAGGGAGUAAUUAUCAAACAGAGAAACAAAAGGAAAAGAAAAGCAAGAAGUUCCCUUCCUCCAUCCAUUUUUUAUUUUCUUUCACUUAUAUACAUCAGACUAACACACAAGCACUUCAACUAUUAUAAACAUAAUUCCCAAUUCAAGAACACGGUUGAAUAUUAGAGCACCACAUACUACUCUUCGUAAAGUAAAACCGGGCAUGCCAAGUCAUGGCUGACAGACGAAGCUCAGGAAGGAUUCGAUUGUGCUAUUAGUCAGUAGGUACAUUAGAGAGCUUGUUCAUGCUAAGAACAUCUGUUAUUAGAUUCUUAUAACCACACUUCAUUUUUCUAUUUUCUAAAUUAAAAUAAGCGAUCUCACUACAGUAAAAAAUAAACACAUAUAUAGCUGACAUAAUUACCUCGCGAAGCUAUUAGCAAGGUAGUUGCAAAAUAUUAUGCUAUCCUAAUCAUAUUGCCAAAUUACAAUUGACCGAUUCUAGUCUAGGUUUUAAAUUUCAAAAGGGGGAACAACUCACCAUGCUCUUUGAUUUCUUCUUGGACCCAUGUUUCCUAUCACCAGUCCCCUCCCUACCGCACGAAUCCUCAUUGAUCUAUGCAAAUCUUUAAACGAAAGCAUCCAAAUA
rnacentral:lncRNA from 1 species